AACCGGUAUACCGGCCAAAAAAUCCCGAAUUUUUUGACUUUUUCUGAAAUUUUUGAAUUUUAACAAAAUUCCUCUGUAAAUUGUCCUGCCGAGGAAUUUGAAUUCAAAUUUUGAUUUUCGAAUUCGUCCGGUAACCGGUCGGGAUUUUCCGGUUACCGCGGUAACCGGCAAUCCCGACCCCCCUCGGGAUUUUUUUUCAUUCGGGACCCAAAACCUUGGUUACACUACAAGUCCAGGGUUUAGUUUAUUCAGAUAUUGUCAUUGAAGCAAAUGGCAGGAUCUUUAGCAGAUUUUCCUCUCUACCACUGAAUAGAUUAUAUGCUCAACGGUGGUCUAAUGCUAUUGAACUGCAAUACUAAAGCCAUGUGUUUAGUUUUUGACAUGUUCAAUGGAGGACCUAAUUCUGCCACAAAAACAAUGGAGCACUCAUGAUUGCUUUCAUCUCAUGCUUAAAUUGGUAAUUUGGAGAGCCAUCCUGGCAUAGCUACUAUUAUUCACAGUAAAAUUUGCUUUGGUGCCUCGGAGGAUGGGACACCACAAUUAAGCUAUGGACAGUCAAAGGUUAUGAAGAAGAUGGUGAUGUUUUCUCGAUGAAAAGACAAAUAGAAUAAAUACUCAGCAGAGCGAAAAGUGGCCUGGUUCUGUUCAAGUUUGCGAUCUACUUUUGACUUAUCCAUAGUGCUUCAUCUUGGACUGGAGCACUUCGUUCAUGUUAUUAAGUAAAAAAUGGGCUUCGGUUUGGUAUUGGUUCAAAUCGUUGCACAACAAUGGAGUAAUUUAUUACACAGACUUAUGAUAUAUGCUGCUGAUCUCACAAUUCUCAUCAUAUUGUACUCCAGGGCUCAACAUUGCUAGACAUACACGAUGUUUCACUUCGAUUGCUUAGUCUGAGCUAUGAUGAAUAUAAUCGUUCUGUGUUAGGAUUUUCUAUGUACAUUGUUUGGCAUCUGUACAUUUAUGUGUCGAUUUUC